AAGGAAAACCCAAAUAUCUUAAAUCCAAUCCCCAACAAGAAAAACCUAACACGCGUUGCCACCACUGUCAAAUCCAAAAACGACGAUCUGUGCUCUGCUCCGGCAACGUUCUGCACCAGGGACUGCUCCGGCAACGAUCUACUCCAGUGAAUGCUCCGGCGACGAUCUGCUCCAGCGAAUGAUCCGGCAACGAUCUGCUCCGGCAAUGAUCUGCUCCAGCGAAUGCUCCGGCAACGAUUUUCUCGGUGUUCUCCUCCGACGAGAUUUUGUGCUGUGAACUGAAACGCUGUCUCCAGCGACGAUCUCCUCUGGCGGCGCGUUCUCCUCCUUCAGCGAGCUUCUAUGAUUUGGAUUUGAUAUGAAGAUUAUCACUCAUCUCAUCACCGUCAUUCAUCUCUGCGCCAUCGCAAGCAACACCGUUUUCAAUCUGGCUCAUCUCCUCGCCGUGGCAAGCAACGCCGUUGUUGCUGCCUUCAGCAAGCUUCUAAAGUUUGGUUUCGCAAUCCUAUCACUUCUAAUAGAGGUAUAUAAAAGAUCAUAAGGGUGUUUGAACAAUUUUUCUUCUGGAUUGGAAGCUUUUGCCCCUCAGAAAUUCUAAAGAUUCUGGUCCCUAGGAUUGAAACCAUGACAGAUUCUGUUUUGACAUUUUCUCAGCCUUUGCUUCACGUGACAAAAUAUUUCUCAAGGGCAGGGAUAAUUCUGAGCUUGCUGUAGUCUAUUCAUCUUACAUAUCAAAACUGUUAUCUAGAUAUAGAGGGUCCAAUAAUAUUGGAGCAUUGAUUAUGGAACCAGGCAAGAAUUUUAUGAGCUUGCAUAAUUUGAAGUCCUCAUUUUAAUUCCAAACUCUCCUCCUUUCCCUCUAAUGAUCUUAUCUGUUGAUAUUACUUUCUCCAAUGAAUAAAUAUGAAUGAGAAAAACAGAACAAGAAUCAGUUACUCACUUAACACACAUCAAUGUGAUAAUAUAUUAGAGCUAUGCUCACAGUAAUGCAACUUUCUGUGUAAGGAAAAUAUUGCAUAUGGUCUCUACUCUCUAGAUCUUCCAAAAAGAAAAAGUUUCUUGCUUUUCUGUCUUGGUUUCUUAAGACGUUUUCAUUCUUUAGUUGUUCCAUUGUCUAUUGAGAUUUCUAAAUUAAAAUAGUUGCACCUGUUUCCCUAAAUUUCUAUAAUCUCAUUUGGACCUGAACUUUUCUUUAGCUAUACAAGGUGCUGGAGGAAUGCAUAUGGUUGAUCCAUUGUUUCAGCGAGUACUUGUUAAUGAGUGUUGGAGUAGAAAUAUUUUGGUUAUCUUUGAUGAGAUUUUAUAGUCAAUGUUUUAUUUUUAUGCUAC